GAUGAACGCUGGCGGCGUGCCUAAUACAUGCAAGUCGAGCGAACAGACGAGGAGCUUGCUCCUCUGACGUUAGCGGCGGACGGGUGAGUAACACGUGGAUAACCUACCUAUAAGACUGGGAUAACUUCGGGAAACCGGAGCUAAUACCGGAUAAUAUAUUGAACCGCAUGGUUCAAUAGUGAAAGACGGUUUUGCUGUCACUUAUAGAUGGAUCCGCGCCGCAUUAGCUAGUUGGUAAGGUAACGGCUUACCAAGGCAACGAUGCGUAGCCGACCUGAGAGGGUGAUCGGCCACACUGGAACUGAGACUCGGCCCAGACUCCUACGGGAGGCAGCAGUCGGGAAUCUUCCGCAAUGGGCGAAAGCCUGACGGUGCAACGCCGCGUGAGUGAUGAAGGUCUUCGGAUCGUAAAGCUCUGUUAUUAGGGAAGAACAAAUGUGUAAGUAACUAUGCACGUCUUGACGGUACCUAAUCAGAAAGCCACGGCUAACUACGUG
rnacentral:rRNA from 1 species